rnacentral:misc_RNA from 1 species
UAUUUUCAACCCUUCAGUAAUUUUUUUAAUCUUACGGUUGGGCUUGGACUUGGAGGUUUUUUUGCUGGUGAUACAGGUUGAAUUUCAAUCUACACAUUGGCUCCUCUGAAAUACAUUCGCUUGGAUUAAUUACCAAGUAUGGUUCAGUGUGAUAAUGUCUACGCUGUUUCAUCUUGGCAAACGUUAAGUGUCCAGGCUUUGACUUCUGUCUUUUAUUGACAGAAUCUUUAAACAU